UACGUAGGGUGCGAGCGUUAAUCGGAAUUACUGGGCGUAAAGUGUGCGCAGGUGGCUUCGCAAGUCGAGUGUGAAAUCCCCAGGCUUAACCUGGGAAUUGCGCUCGAAACUACGGAGCUGGAGUAUGGCAGAGGGAGGUGGAAUUCCACGUGUAGCGGUGAAAUGCGUAGAGAUGUGGAGGAACACCAAUGGCGAAGGCAGCCUCCUGGGCCAAUACUGACGCUCAUGCACGAAAGCGUGGGGAGCAAACAGG
rnacentral:rRNA from 1 species